rnacentral:rRNA from 1 species
GAUGAACGCUAGCUACAGGCUUAACACAUGCAAGUCGCGGGGCAGCAUGGGGGUUGCUUGCAAUCCCCGAUGGCGACCGGCGCACGGGUGAGUAACGCGUAUCCAACCUGCCCUUCACCACGGGAUAACCCGGCGAAAGUCGGACUAAUACCGUAUGUUGUCCAUUGACGGCAUCCGAUUGGGACGAACGGUUGGGCGGGGAAGUAUGGGGAUGCGUCCGCUUAGAUGGACGGCGGGGUGACGGCGCACCGUGGCGACGAUCGGUAGGGGUUCUGAGAGGAAGGUCCCCCACACUGGAGCUGAGACACGGUCCCGACUCCUACGGGAGGCAGCAGUGACGAAUAUUGGUCAAUGGGCGUAAGCCUGAACCAGCCAAGUAGCGUGCAGGAUGACGGCCCUAUGGGUUGUAAACUGCUUUUAUGCGGGGAUAAAGUGGCCCACGUGUGGGUUUUUGCAGGUACCGCAUGAAUAAGGACCGGCUAAUUCCGUG